rnacentral:rRNA from 1 species
GACAAAGGUCCCGAGCGUUGUUCGGAUUCAUUGGGCGUAAAGGAUGCAUAAGUGGCGCUAUAAAUGGGGUGUGAAAUCCCGGGGCUUAACCCCGGGACUGCAUUCCAUACUGCGGUGCUUGAGGACUGGAGAGGAGACUGGAAUUUACGGUAUAGCAGUGAAAUGCGUAGAGAUCGUAAGGAAGACCAGUAACAAAAACAAGUCUCUGAACAGUUCCUAACACUAAAACACAAAGGCCAGGGGAGCAAACGGG